rnacentral:rRNA from 14 species
AUCCCUGGCCAUACCAUACUGGACAUGCCUGAAGCUAAGCAGGGUUGGACCUGGUUAGUACUUGGAUGGGAGACCCUAUCUUAAAAUAGAUCUCUGAGUUG